rfam:Pseudobutyrivibrio ruminis strain ACV-9 genome assembly, contig: IE77DRAFT_scaffold00004.4
UAACAUGAGAGUUUGAUCCUGGCUCAGGAUGAACGCUGGCGGCGUGCUUAACACAUGCAAGUCGAACGAAGCAACUUAU